GAUGAACGCUGGCGGCGUGCUUAACACAUGCAAGUCGAACGGUGAAGCCCCGCUUGCGGGGUGGAUCAGUGGCGAACGGGUGAGUAACACGUGAGCAACCUGCCCUGGACUCUGGGAUAAGCGCUGGAAACGGCGUCUAAUACUGGAUAUGAGCCCCUAUCGCGUGGUGGGGGUUGGAAAGAUUUUUUUGGUCUGGGAUGGGCUCGCGGCCUAUCAGCUUGUUGGUGAGGUAAUGGCUUACCAAGGCGUCGACGGGUAGCCGGCCUGAGAGGGUGACCGGCCACACGGGGACUGAGACACGGCCCAGACUGCUACGGGAGGCAGCAGUGGGGAAUAUUGCACAAUGGGCUGAAGCCUGAUGCAGCAACGCCGCGUGAGGGAUGACGGCCUUCGGGUUGUAAACCUCUUUGAGCAAGGAAGAAGCUUUCGGGUGACGGUACUUGCAGAAAAAGCGCCGGCUAACUACGUGCCAGCCGCCGCCGUAACAC
rnacentral:rRNA from 1 species